GAUGAACGCUGGCGGCGUGCCUAAUACAUGCAAGUCGAGCGAACGGACGAGAAGCUUGCUUCUCUGAUGUUAGCGGCGGACGGGUGAGUAACAUGUGGAUAACCUACCUAUAAGACUGGGAUAACUUCGGGAAACCGGAGCUAAUACCGGAUAAUAUUUUGAACCGCAUGGUUCAAAAGUGAAAGACGGUCUUGCUGUCACUUAUAGAUGGAUCCGCGCUGCAUUAGCUAGUUGGUAAGGUAACGGCUUACCAAGGCAACGAUGCAUAGCCGGCCUGAGAGGGUGAUCGGCCGCACUGGAACUGAGACACGGUCCAGACUCCUACGGGAGGCAGCAGUAGGGAAUCUUCCGCAAUGGGCGAAAGCCUGACGGAGCAACGCCGCGUGAGUGAUGAAGGUCUUCGGAUCGUAAAACUCUGUUAUUAGGGAAGAACAUAUGUGUAAGUAACUGUGCACAUCUUGACGGUAACUAAUCAGAAAGCAACGGCUAACUACGUG
rnacentral:rRNA from 1 species